rnacentral:rRNA from 1 species
GACGAACGCUGGCGGCGUGCCUAACACAUGCAAGUCGAGCGAGUGGAUCUCCUUCGGGAGUGAAGCUAGCGGCGGACGGGUGAGUAACACGUGGGCAACCUGCCUCAUAGAGGGGAAUAGCCUUUCGAAAGGAAGAUUAAUACCGCAUAAGAUUGUAGCUUCGCAUGAAGUAGCAAUUAAAGGAGCAAUCCGCUAUGAGAUGGGCCCGCGGCGCAUUAGCUAGUUGGUGAGGUAACGGCUCACCAAGGCGACGAUGCGUAGCCGACCUGAGAGGGUGAUCGGCCACAUUGGACUGAGACACGGCCCAGACUCCUACGGGAGGCAGCAGUGGGGAAUAUUGCACAAUGGGGGAAACCCUGAUGCAGCAACGCCGCGUGAGUGAUGAAGGUCUUCGGA